rnacentral:tRNA from 1 species
GGUAGCGUGGCCGAGUGGUUUAAAGCACCUCAUUGAUAAUGAGGCGGGCGUUUGGAACCGCCCCGUGGGUUCGAAUCCCACCGCUACCG